AGUGGAAUGUUUUGUUUCGAAC
rnacentral:miRNA from 1 species